rnacentral:rRNA from 1 species
UACGUAGGGAGCAAGCGUUGUCCGGAAUCAUUGGGCGUAAAGCGCGCGUAGGUGGUCCCGUAAGUCCGCUGUGAAAGUCAAAGGCUCAACCUUUGAAAGCCGGUGGAUACUGUGGGACUAGAGUACGGAAGAGGCGAGUGGAAUUCCUGGUGUAGCGGUGGAAUGCGCAGAUAUCAGGAGGAACACCAAUAGCGAAGGCAGCUCGCUGGGACGUUACUGACACUGAAGCGCGAAAGCGUGGGGAGCAAACAGG